rnacentral:lncRNA from 1 species
UCACAUUUCAAAAUGACAUAAGAUAGAAAUACACAGUGAACUAUUUCCAGGAAGUCAUUUAAACAAAUCAUACAGGUCUACACACAAAAGGAAAAUGCAAAUCCUUACAAGUGACAUACGUAUCAUUUUCAUGCUCCCAACUGACAUGCUUAUAGAAAAAUACCUUCUAUCUCCCAGCUACUAAACAAUAUCGAGGAGUAGUGCUCAAGAUUUUUUGCAAUGAAUAGAGAGUUCCACAUCUUAAUUGUCAUGGGAUCAGUAAGUUCUACAGCAGUUGCCUUAUCUACCAACCUAUAACACAGUCUUGUAAUAGCACUUUUCAAUUUGUAAGUGGCAUUCCAAGUUUUUGAGCCAUUGCUUGUUAGCACAAUUGGCUUAGUAUUCCACCACAUAGAGCUGCAUAUUGUUCAUACAAUCAGCAGAAUUGAUCUUUUGAAACAUAUUUUUAAUACAGUGGAAAACUCAUUGUGUGCGACAACAAGUCAAAGCCCUUUAGACAUAAGAAUAUAAGCACACUCCACUAAUUCCCCAACAUCAAAUUUUGAAUAACAGAUUUUAGGAGGGCACAGCCCUCUGGUCUUUUAUGAUUACAAUGACAGAAUAAAAUGAAACGAAAAGGAGUGGCUAAGGGGAGAGGGUAUAUCCUUUCCUUGCCAUCCAUGUAUUCUGUCGGUGCUACUUUGUUGAGGGCUUCUUUAGAAUAUGUGACCCUGCUGCACAUGGGUGGGUCUUUGAGGACAGUGACCUUAGCAACCUUUGCUAGAGGAAGGUAUGAUGAGGACAGACCUGGUGCAGGUACAAUCGAGGUUUAAGGUGUAGAUUGUUGAUUUGGAAGGAGGCAGGCCUCCAGAACUGUUGGAUCUGGAGGCCUCCAGGGCUUGGACGGUUAGGGUUUGAGAAGGCGGAAGAAGGAGACAGGAAGGAGGCAUACCAGAGGGCUCCUUGUCUUUGCAUUGCUAUAGCAGGGCUUGGACAGUUAAGGUUUGAGGAGGAGGAAGAAGGAGACAGGAAGGAGGCAUAUCAGAGGGCUCCUUGUCUUUGCAUUGCUAUAGUUCUUCUGCCAUCUUCCAUUAUCUCUCUCUCUCUCUCUCUGUGACCAGGGAUUCCAUGAACAGUGUUACAGUCACUCCUUGAAGGCUAACAGUGACAAUCUAUCAAUAGCAAUUAGAUCAGAUUUCCUAAAUACCAUUAGCUAAGAGGUAAAUACAAAGAAUAAAUUGAAUGCUACAUAAUAAUAUCAGCAAGAUAAACUAAUCCAAUAACAGUCAAUCUCCUAAUAAUGUCAUCAGACUUGCAUAUUUUGGACAUGGGAGUUCCUUCCAUGUUUUGCAAAUGAUGUGAACUUUUGCAAGUCUUCUGUGAUUAAUUAGACAUAAUCCUUGAAGUCUCUUUUAAUUAGUCACAUAAAUAUAUCUAUAUAUAUAUAU